rnacentral:rRNA from 1 species
GAUGAACGCUGGCGGCGUGCCUAAUACAUGCAAGUCGAGCGAACGGACGAGAAGCUUUCUUCUCUGAUGUUAGCGGCGGACGGGUGAGUAACACGUGGAUAACCUACCUAUAAGACUGGGAUAACUUCGGGAAACCGGAGCUAAUACCGGAUGAUAUUUUGAACCGCAUGGUUCAAAAGUGAAAGACGGUCUUGCUGUCACUUAUAGAUGGAUCCGCGCUGCAUUAGCUAGUUGGUAAGGUAACGGCUUACCAAGGCAACGAUGCAUAGCCGACCUGAGAGGGUGAUCAGCCACACUGGAACUGAGACACGGUCCAGACUCCUACGGGAGGCAGCAGUAGGGAAUCUUCCGCAAUGGGCGAAAGCCUGACGGAGCAACGCCGCGUGAGUGAUGAAGGUCUUCGGAUCGUAAAACUCUGUUAUAAGGGAAGAACAUAUGUGUAAGAAUCUGUGCACAUCUUGACGGUACCUAAUCAGAAAGCCACGGCUAACUACGUG